rnacentral:rRNA from 1 species
AUGGCCCCCGCCGCUGCUUCGGGAGAGAUCACGGUCUCGCAUCGCCUUGCGCUUGUCAUCCUCGUCGCUCCAUGGCACUACGUUGCUAGAGCUUCCGGCCUCCAUGUCGUGCGCAAGGUUGCGGUGACGACAGGCGUCUCCACCAGCACCACGACGGGUGUGGCCUCUGCACGCGCCGUCACCUCCCCUCCAGAUCCGGACGUCGUCGAGGGCAUGUCCAUCCAGCAGUGCGCCGUCACCUCCCCUCCAGAUCCAGCCGUCGUCAAGGGCGUAUCCAUCCAGCAGCGCGCCGUCAUCCCAAUCAUCACCGUCCAUGGCGUCAUCGCCCAGGCCCAGUCAGGGGCCGGCAAGACCUCCAUGAUCUCCCUCUUCGUCUGCCAAGUCAUUGAGACCAACGUCCACGAGUAA